rnacentral:lncRNA from 1 species
CUUGCGUUCUUAACCAGCUGGGCUGGCUACUAGUUCUGAUAAAAAGGUGUGUUGGACUAUAUUUGAACAACCUACAAAACAUCGAGCUUCAGAAAUGGCAUGACUAAGAGUCUUGGUGGUGAUAGGAGCAAGCCGCGGCGACUGUUGAAGCUCCAGAGCGUUGACGGGCGUGCGGAAAGAGGUUUGCUGCUGGCUGGGCGUCCCAAGUGGCACUCACGAUCGAUUCACGCGACUCAACAUGCUGCACCGUCUACAUUUUGAUCUAGGAAGGGGCGAAAUAGGUGGUAGCGGCACUGAAUCUUGCCAAGGUGACUCGGACGGUAGGGACGGCCCGAAUCCUGCACAAACAAGGUUGGGGAUGGAAUGGAGGCAAGGUAUGAUAGGGUAAGGACGGUGGCGAUGCUCCAUGGCAUCCUCGCACUAUGCAUACGAGAGAUAGAGAGAGCUGCGUGAGAAAGAUCUAAAGAGGAAGAUGAUAGAAAGAAAAGAGAGAAGCAGUGGCACACAAUGACCUACUGGGCUUCGACCGCGGAGACCUUCUAGUUUUUCCAUCGGCUAGGUGGUUCGAGCGGCGCUGGGAACUUGGGGCGAUGCACGGUCAUCGGACAACGAGUGAGCUACUCACACUCAUCGCACGGGGAAGCAGAGGACACCACGGCGGUGUGGCG